rfam:Myotis lucifugus cont2.62412, whole genome shotgun sequence.
GCCUACAUGGCUCAGUGGUUGAGCUUUGACCUAGGAACCAGGAGGUCCUGGUUCAAUUCCUGGUCAGGGCA